rnacentral:lncRNA from 1 species
CGUGCAUUGCCUGAGGGCCCUGGGCUCUCAGUCUGCAUUGAUUGGAGCUGGGACCGAAGCCCCCAUUCCAGAAACCGGACCAGGAGAUAGGCAAACAAGAAGAAGCCACCCAAUGUGAGAAAGAAAUAAGCAACGGGGGUGAUGUCCGUCUUUAUGCCCAGCAAAGCCAGCCCCAGUAGGAAGGAGGCGCAGCACAGGAGGAGAAGCGGCUUCUCCAGUCUCCCCAGUUCUUCAAUCUCAAAUAAAUCAUCUGUAGAGUCCCCUCCAGUUCCGAAAUUCUCUCUAUGUCUUGGAGUGUGUGGAAUAGCCAGGAAACCAGCCCAGGAGCUUUGACUCCCAGCCAUUCUGCACCUUAAGCAAAAAGGAAGUUAGCCACACAUGGUGGCUCAUGACUGUAGUCUCAGCUACAUGGGAGGCAAGGCGAGAGGAUCUCUUGAGCCCAGGAGUUCGAGGCCAGCCUAG